UACUGACGCGAGACAGUGCCUUCGCGACAAUAGUCGUGCGUGUCCAUAACGUUGGGAGUAGAAGCCUGUGUAUUCUGUACACGAACAUCUUUGUUCACAUAAACAAACAGUGAGCUUGAUCUUACUGGGUAGCGGACGACGUAAACUGCGUUGAAUGUUUUGAUAUAUAGGAAAUAUGCGGCUAUGAAACUGAAGCGAGAAGAUGUGAUUUUCUGUUGGAAAAGACUGACAAUAGCAUGCCACGAAUAACUGGUUGACCUCUCAGAUAAACAUGGAUGUUUCUAAGGAAGCGGAACUGAGGCAUUUAAUUCGUAGGGAACAGCGUCGAAAUCGAAGGAGACGAAGGAGAAAUGAAGUUGGUUCGUGUGUAAUUUGUCAAGAAAAUGUACUAAGGAGUGUUAGCAGUGUUUUAUCUUGUGGACACUACUUUCACACACACUGCAUUUUUGCAUGGAUUAAUGCUAAUACCUCUUGUCCAACAUGCAGAGCACCAGUUGAAUGUUACAAUAUAUGAACAUGAACAGUGAUGUGGUCUUAAGAUACUGGAGAAGAAUAUUUCUUUCUUUGUUGUGUAUGUACCAGAGACAAAUGUUACCUACUGUUAGCAAAAAAAAAAAAAAAAAAAAAAAAAAAAAAAAAAAAAAAAAAAACCACCCUUGUCUGUCUAGAACUCACUGUUACAAAAGGUGCUGCAUUGGCAUGCCAAAUUUACUAUAGCGGUAGUUCAGAAUUCAUAUAAAAUGAUAUAAACUCUGUCGUGUGUAUGUUGAUAUAUCAGCAUUGUGUUGUAUUGAACUAAUUUUAAGAUACAUGUUGUGAAAUAUUGUUACUUUUGUGUUUCAUACUCCUUUGUCUCACAAAAAGUGUCUGAAAUGUGUUCUUGGUAUAAAACAAGAAGACAGUUACAAGUACACAAAUGUAAGGAGAAUAGAGUCAAGAAGAUGUAUCAGUGGAGAAUGUAUGUAGAAAAAAAGAUGUAAAAGAAAACAAAUGUGGAAUAAACUUUUUAAGUGUA